rnacentral:rRNA from 1 species
UCCAGACUCCUACGGGAGGCAGCAGUGGGGAAUAUUGCACAAUGGGGGAAACCCUGAUGCAGCGACGCCGCGUGAGUGAAGAAGUAUUUCGGUAUGUAAAGCUCUAUCAGCAGGGAAGAAAAUGACGGUACCUGACUAAGAAGCCCCGGCUAACUACGUGCCAGCAGCCGCGGUAAUACGUAGGGGGCAAGCGUUAUCCGGAUUUACUGGGUGUAAAGGGAGCGUAGACGGCAUGGCAAGUCAGAUGUGAAGGCCCGGGGCUCAACCCCGGGACUGCAUUUGAAACUGUCAGGCUGGAGUGCAGGAGAGGUAAGUGGAAUUCCUAGUGUAGCGGUGAAAUGCGUAGAUAUUAGGAGGAACACCAGUGGCGAAGGCGGCUUACUGGACUGUAACUGACGUUGAGGCUCGAAACCUUGGGGAGCAAACAGGAUUAGAUACCCGCGUACC